rnacentral:rRNA from 1 species
UGGGGAAUAUUGCACAAUGGAGGAAACUCUGAUGCAGCGACGCCGCGUGGACGAAGAAGGCUUUCGAGUCGUAAAGUUCUUUUAUAUGGGAAGAUAAUGACGGUACCAUAAGAAAAAGCCCCGGCUAACUACGUGCCAGCAGCCGCGGUAAUACGUAGGGGGCUAGCGUUGUCCGGAAUCACUGGGCGUAAAGGGUUCGCAGGCGGAAAUGCAAGUCAGGUGUAAAAGGCAGUAGCUUAACUACUGUAAGCAUUUGAAACUGCAUAUCUUGAGAAGAGUAGAGGUAAGUGGAAUUUUUAGUGUAGCGGUGAAAUGCGUAGAUAUUAAAAAGAAUACCGGUGGCGAAGGCGACUUACUGGGCUCAUUCUGACGCUGAGGAACGAAAGCGUGGGUAGCAAACAGG